rnacentral:rRNA from 1 species
UCCAGCGAACUUGGCAGAGAUGCCUUGGUGCCUUCGGGAACGCUGAGACAGGUGCUGCAUGGCUGUCGUCAGCUCGUGUUGUGAAAUGUUGGGUUAAGUCCCGNAACGAGCGCAACCCUUAUCCUUUGUUGCCAGCGAUUCGGUCGGGAACUCAAAGGAGACUGCCGGUGAUAAACCGGAGGAAGGUGGGGAUGACGUCAAGUCAUCAUGGCCCUUACGAGUAGGGCUACACACGUGCUACAAUGGCGCAUACAAAGAGAAGCGACCUCGCGAGAGCAAGCGGACCUCAUAAAGUGCGUCGUAGUCCGGAUCGGAGUCUGCAACUCGACUCCGUGAAGUCGGAAUCGCUAGUAAUCGUGGAUCAGAAUGCCACGGUGAAUACGUUCCCGGGCCUUGUACACACCGCCCGUCACACCAUGGGAGUGGGUUGCAAAAGAAGUAGGUAGCUUAACCUUCGGGAGGGCGCUUACCACUUUGUGAUUCAUGACUGGGGUGAAGUCGUAACAAGGUAGGCGUAGCGAG